GGAUUUCCCUUUAACUAGUUCUGCACCCAAAACUUUAGUGAAUGAGAGUGCCACAGAGAUUGAAGCUACAGCUAGACCUCUUAUGACUGAUGCACGCACUGCAUUGGCCACCUCUGCGGAAUUUGCUUCUUCUAUUGCGGAAUCUAAAUCAUCUAGUUUACCCAGUAUAACUACUGAUACUGAUAUUGCUCCCUUUACAUCACCACCACCUUUGAGUCCUGAGUUGGCUAGAAAACUUUCUGGUUUCAGAAGCAUAUCAAACAGCUCUAAGCAUGGUCCCUCUGUCAAUGACCAUUUUGGGGAUCCUAAAGCUGUUGAAUAUUCAGUUGACAGGCAAAUGGAUGCCAUUCAUCCAAACUUGACUGGCCUUACUCUGUCAGAUGGUGACCCAAUGAAAAAUGAAGAUGAAGUGUCCGGUGAUGAUGGUUCUUCGGGUAUUAGUAGUACAAUUAAAUUCAAGCACCCUACUCAUUUGGUGACUCCUUCAGAG
rnacentral:misc_RNA from 1 species